UCAAACUAAGAAAAUACAUUUUUACAAAAAAUUAUUGAUAAAGGAAUACGCAACAAUGCAACGAACGAGACACAAAGAUAUACUAAGUUGCGAAAUUCCUAACAUUCGUGGUUCCAUAAGUGAUGUGGGGUGCGAAAAAUAACGAUGAGUAAGUCUGCAAAGGGAGUUGUCCAGUGGGGAAUGUUGGCAGGUAAUUGGUAUAGUUUGGAAGUAGUUAUUUAACCAUGUAAAUGACCAUGAACGCCACCAUGACCCAGACCUACACCUACAAUUGGGCCGACUGGUCCCACAGCUACAGCUCCAAGACCGUGGACGAGGCCG